GACGAACCGUGCGAACGUUGUUCGGAAUCACUGGGCAUAAAGGGCGCGUAGGCAGCUUAUCAAGUCAGGGGUGAAAUCCGGCAGCUCAACUGUCGAAGUGCCUUUGAUACUGAUGAGCUCGAGGGAGGUAGGGGUCUGUGGAACUUCCGGUGGAGCGGUGAAAUGCGUUGAUAUCGGAAGGAACGCCGGUGGCGAAAGCGACGGACUGGACCUCUUCUGACGCUGAGGCGCGAAAGCCAGGGGAGCAAACGGG
rnacentral:rRNA from 1 species